CCAGCCAUCAUCCUCGCUCUCACUACUCUCGCCUCCACCGGCCACAGCCAGACCGCGCACAGGGCCAGCCGCCAUGCCCGCCAGCCUCUCCGAACACGCACAGCACACGUCCGCCCCCUCAGCGGGCGCCUGCGCACUGGGGAAACACGCAGGGUUGCGUGGGAAGGCAUGCGUGUGAGCUCACAGGCUUUGGGCCCUGAGGCGCAGAUGCGCGGGCAUGCGUAGCGCCCCUCGCCUCCUCGGACCCGCCCACCAGCCCUGUGUUCACUGUGGGUAAACCCGCUGCCCAACGUGGUAGAGCUGGAACUGGGUGCCUGAACCGGCUGGGUAUUUGGUCGAUGAAGUUUUGCCCUUAAAGGGAUGCCGUACUUUCGGUGGAGCAUAAUGGAAGCUAUAAAGCCAGAAUUUUCAGCUUCCAGACUGUUGAGAUCUUUAUGGAUUCGAAUUCACUGAGCUUCAUUCUCAGCAUUGAUGAGGGCAGGUGAGAAAGAAAAAAAACGCAUCUCUGUCUUGAUUCAAACUAAACACUUCUCUGAAAUAGUUACAAAGCAGUGUGCGUCACGUGAGGCCUGGGCCAAAGGACCCUCUGACUUUCUGUGUAAGAGGCCCCUUACACAUGGUGGACACCUGAUAAAUAUUCACUGAAGCCUUGGAACAUUGGUUUGAGCACUGGCCUCAAUUUUUGGAUGAGAGUUGCCCCCAUCAACUGGGAAGGGUAAGAAGAAGGUUUUGGCAAUUGUGAAUAAAACUACCAUAAACAUUUGCAUGGAGAUUUUUGUGUGGACUGAAGUUUUCCAGUCAGUUGGGAUUCAGGACCUAAAAAGUCUUGGCUCUUUAAAACCCAUCAGGCAGGCGCGCCAUCCACACAACAAAACGUCGGGGAAGCUAAGGCGCCCACACCUGGGAAAGCUUCGAUGCCCUCAGAGAGCCGAAGAUGGCGCUUCUGUGAGUCAGCUCGAGGUUAACGCGCUACUUUCCCUUCAAAGGCCGGAUUCCUUUCGGUGUAUUAGUCAAGAUGUUCUUGCCGACCGAGACUUGGAAAUCUAUAGGAGGGCGGGUUAGUUUACACACUGUCGAUUUGUCAUCGUAGUCUCUAGCCCUCAGCAAAGCCUUCCUUCAGAACGCAAGUCCGACUCAGCACUCGGGACAAUGAACAAAUCGUGAGCGUAAAUGACAAAGCGGUCACCUCCCCGCGGGAUUUCCCCCCUCCCCCCUCCCCCCGGGAGCGCGUCUCCCAGGGGUCUGAGCCGCACUCACAGCUCGCCUAAGCCUGAAACUAACAGCGUGGUUUGCCUCAGGCACUCAAAGGAAGCGCUGAGGUGAACACAGCAGACGCCGCCGCCGCCGAACUUUCCGGGUCUCUGAGGCUGCGUUUUGAUACAGGAGAGACACUUUCCCUUCCCCCUUCAGAAUGCACCUCGCCAGCGCAACCCGAGCCCGGCUAGGCUCUCGGAAGAAGGCUCGGAAGUUGUCGGCCGCACGCCCCGCGUCCCGCGGAACCUGGCGCGGAGGAGGGUGCCGGAGGCUGCCCGGGGGACGGUUCUGCUCCCGCCCGGCGUCGGAGGCCGGACACGGAGGGCGGCCGCAACAGGCCCCCGCUUGCGGGCCGGGCUGGGGCUGGACGGUACGCACGCGGGCCUGGAAGGGGCGCGCGCGAGGGAGCCCGGCUGGGAGAAUGGGCCACGGGAGGCGCGGGGCAGCCGGGGUGGGAAGGAGACGAGAAGAAGGAGCGCUCGGGGAGCGCAGAAGCUGGAGGAAGCGGCUGGGGCAAAUUGGGGGCUGGACCUGGCAGCGCACAGUUUUUAACCUGGUCAGGGGAGGCGGGGGAAGG